rnacentral:rRNA from 1 species
UACGUAGGGGGCUAGCGUUGUCCGGAUUUAUUGGGCGUAAAGAGCGUGUAGGCGGCCUUACAGGUCAGCUGUGAAAACUCGAGGCUCAACCUCGAGAGGUCGGUUGAAACCGUAUGGCUAGAGUCCGGAAGAGGAGAGUGGAAUUCCUGGUGUAGCGGUGAAAUGCGCAGAUAUCAGGAAGAACACCGAUGGCGAAGGCAGCUCUCUGGGACGGUACUGACGCUGAGACGCGAAAGCGUGGGGAGCGAACAGG